UACAGGAGGUCCCAAGCGUUGUUCGGAUUCAUUGGGCGUAAAGGGUGCGUAGGCGGUCAGCACAAGUCAGUUGUCGAAAUCUCCGGGCUUAACUCGGAAAGGUCAACUGAUACUGUGCGACUAGAGUGCGGAAGGGGCAACUGGAAUUCUCGGUGUAGCGGUGGAAAUGCGUAGAUAUCGAGAGGAACACCUGCGGCGAAGGCGGGUUGCUGGGCCGACACUGACGCUGGAUGACGCGAAAGCCCAGGGGAGCGAACGGG
rnacentral:rRNA from 1 species